rnacentral:sRNA from 1 species
UGGUAGAUGCACCCUGACUAAUUCCCUGGAGGACUUCCUCUGGGGGAUUUCUUU